rnacentral:rRNA from 1 species
UACAGAGGUCUCAAGCGUUGUUCGGAUUCAUUGGGCGUAGAGGGUGCGUAGGCGGCGCGGUAAGUCGGGUGUGAAAUCUCGGAGCUUAACUCUGAAACUGCAUUCGAUACUGCCGUGCUUGAGGACUGGAGAGGAGACUGGAAUUCACGGUGUAGCAGUGAAAUGCGUAGAUAUCGUGAGGAAGACCAGUGGCGAAGGCGGGUCUCUGGACAGUUCCUGACACUGAGGCACGAAGGCCAGGGGAGCAAACGGG